rnacentral:lncRNA from 1 species
GAGAUUUCCUCCUCCCAGGCAGCCGCCUUGGGGUGGAGAACCACCUCCAUACCAGCACCAUCUCCAAGGAAGAAGGGGGGCCAAGGGCUGUGGACGCCGCCGUGGCCGCUAUCUCCUCUCAGAGCUGCACCUCUCCAUCAACAUCUUGCUCACCAUGGCCAUGUGUGGGUAGUCUCCCUCGGGGCUGAGGUCUUCUAUGUGUAGCUAUGUGGUCAUCUCUCUCUCCCAUGAUGUGAUCUUGAUUGUGAUCAUAGGCUAUGUUAAUCUAGGGUGAUCUCAUGAUGUUUCCCCUUCUUCCAUGUAUUGGAUUGAUGUACUUACUUGAUCUUAUCUAGUAUAAUCCGCGAGACCAUGG